GUUUUCUAUCACAAAGUUGAACAAAGUCGCCGUUCCGCUGCUGUCUGGGCACCAUCGCCGGCCGCUCUUCAAUAUCAAAGGAGGAGGUCCGUUGCAUUUUUUCCAACUUGGAGCUACCAACUCGAGGAACGAUAACGUCCCCUGAAUCUUCGCCGUCGCUUCUCAAACUUCGCAAACCUUUCCGAUUCGAGCAAUGCAUCCGGAGGUGGCGAUAGACUUGUUGGGCCUAAUCCAGGUGCAGACGGACGGGACCAUCACACGGCAGGACUUGGACAAGCCACCAUUUUUCGUCCCAGCGUCCGCCUCCGACCAUGUUCCCUCCGUCGACGUGACCAUCGACCCGGCCACCAAAUUGUGGGCACGCAUUUACCGUCCGCCGGUCCUCGCCGACAAACCGCUCCCAGUAAUUGUCUACGUCCACGGGGGAGGCUUCUGCCUCUUCACCCCGGGCUACAAAGACUACCACCGGCAUGCUGCUCGCCUCGCCUCUGCUACGUCCUCCAUCGUCUUCUCCGUCGCAUACCGCCUGGCACCGGAGCACCGCCUACCAGCUGCCUUCGACGAUGUGCGUGCUGCUCUUCUCUGGCUUUUCAGUUCGGAUGCUCAACACCACCUCUCCGCCUCAGCCGACCUCUCUCGACUUAUCAUCAUGGGGGACAGCGCCGGCGGGAACAUCAUCCACAACGUCCUGGCCUCCAGCGAGGGGCUCGAACUGCCAGGGCUGAGGGGGGUGGUGCUCCUGCAGCCCUACUACGGCACGGAGGAGCGAACAGAGUCAGAGAAAGAAUCGGACGAGCAGGGGGUCCUCACCAUAAAGAACAUAGAUACGUGCUGGGUGCUGGCACUGCCAGAGAGCGACCAACCGACUAACAGGGACCACCCGUUCUGUAGCCCGCCGGCAGAGAGGCUGCCGGAGGUCGGGGUGAUGGUGGUGACGGGAGGGCGGGACUUGCUGAGAGACCGUAGUGUGAUGUUGGUGGAGGAGCUGAAGAAGUUGGGGAGAAAGGCAGUGGAGUUGCACGUCUUCCCGGAGGAGGACCAUGCCUUCUACGUGCGCAGUGUUGAUGGAGAGGCGUCCACCGAGUUGAUGAGCUUGAUCUCUACCUUCGUCUCGCAGUUUUGAUGUCCAGGACGCAAUGUCUGUGUCAUUAAUCUUGUCUUCGUUAUGGUUGAUUUCUCAAAUCAAUGCACGACAUGGGAAAGAGAGCCGGAUUUUGACCUCUUUAGGGAUCGCUCCUCCGUCUCAAUAUCAUAUAAAAAGUGUCCAAAUUUGUGAAAGCUAAAUUUAUGUGUGCCCGUGUUAUAUGAGAAGCAUAUGCAGUUUCCCU